rnacentral:tRNA from 1 species
UCCCAAGUAGCUCAGAUGGUUAAGAAUCUGCCUGCAAUGCAGGAGACCUGGGUUCAAUUCCUGGGUUGGGAA